rnacentral:rRNA from 1 species
AGAUUGAACGCUGGCGGCAGGCCUAACACAUGCAAGUCGAGCGGUAGAGAGGUGCUUGCACCUCUUGAGAGCGGCGGACGGGUGAGUAAUGCCUAGGAAUCUGCCUAGUGGUGGGGGAUAACGUUCGGAAACGGACGCUAAUACCGCAUACGUCCUACGGGAGAAAGCGGGGGACCUUCGGGCCUCGCGCCAUUAGAUGAGCCUAGGUCGGAUUAGCUAGUUGGUGAGGUAAUGGCUCACCAA